GCAAGUCGAACGCGAAAGAGUUCUUCGGAACUUGAGUAGAGUGGCGCACGGGUGAGUAACGCGUAGAUAACCUACCUCCAUGUCUGGGAUAACCCACUGAAAGGUGGACUAAUACCGGAUGUUCCUGUUUUUCAUAAGUAUUACAGGCAAAGGUGGCCUCUGAUGUAAGCUAUCGCAUGGAGAGGGGUCUGCGUACCAUUAGCUUGUUGGUGGGGUAAUGGCCUACCAAGGCGACGAUGGUUAGCGGGUCUGAGAGGAUGAUCCGUCACACUGGCACUGAAACACGGGCCAGACUCCUACGGGAGGCAGCAGUGAGGAAUAUUGCGCAAUGGGGGAAACCCUGACGCAGCGACGCCGCGUGAGUGAGGAAGGCCUUCGGGUCGUAAAGCUCUGUCAAAAGGGAAGAAAUGUAUAGAGGUUAAUACCCUUUAUGCUUGACGGUACCUUUAAAGGAAGCACCGGCUAACUCCGUGCCAGCAGCCGCGGUAAGACGUAGGGGGCUAGCGUUGUCCGGAAU
rnacentral:rRNA from 1 species